rnacentral:rRNA from 1 species
AUUGAACGCUGGCGGUAGGCCUAACACAUGCAAGUCGAACGGCAGCACAGUAAGAUCUUGCUCUUACGGGUGGCGAGUGGCGGACGGGUGAGGAAUACAUCGGAAUCUACUUUUUCGUGGGGGAUAACGUAGGGAAACUUACGCUAAUACCGCAUACGACCUACGGGUGAAAGCAGGGGAUCUUCGGACCUUGCGCGAUUGAAUGAGCCGAUGUCGGAUUAGCUAGUUGGCGGGGUAAAGGCCCACCAAGGCGACGAUCCGUAGCUGGUCUGAGAGGAUGAUCAGCCACACUGGAACUGAGACACGGUCCAGACUCCUACGGGAGGCAGCAGUGGGGAAUAUUGGACAAUGGGCGCAAGCCUGAUCCAGCCAUACCGCGUGGGUGAAGAAGGCCUUCGGGUUGUAAAGCCCUUUUGUUGGGAAAGAAAAGCAGCAGGUUAAUACCCCGCUGUUCUGACGGUACCCAAAGAAUAAGCACCGGCUAACUUCGUG